UUCUCAUCACUGCUCAUCUGAUCCACAGGCUCCUGCCUCUAUUUAAGGUGCUUGCAUCCAUUCAUCACGGCCAAAUUACGCUUGUUCUCUCUGGCAGGUGCAUGCUCUUUGGGGAUGCAGCAUCUGGGACACUCUGGCCGGCGAAGCUCACAUCUUUGUUGGCUGCCAAUUGUCUGAAUCCUACCUAAUUCUCUGGGCACAAACUGUAAAACCAGAGUUUUCUGCCUUACAUGCCCUAGCCACUGCAGAUCUGAAGCUGGUUUUAAAUAAACACUUUUUUAAUGA